rnacentral:rRNA from 1 species
GACGAACGCUGGCGGCGUGCUUAACACAUGCAAGUCGAGCGGUAAGGCCCCUUCGGGGGUACACGAGCGGCGAACGGGUGAGUAACACGUGGGUGACCUGCCCUCAGCUCUGGGAUAAGCCUGGGAAACUGGGUCUAAUACCGGAUAUGACUCCAUGACGCAUGUCGUGGGGUGGAAAGCCUUGUGCGGCUGGGGAUGGGCCCGCGGCCUAUCAGCUUGUUGGUGGGGUGAUGGCCUACCAAGGCGACGACGGGUAGCCGGCCUGAGAGGGCGACCGGCCACACUGGGACUCAGACACGGCCCAGACUCCUACGGGAGGCAGCAGUGGGGAAUCUUGCGCAAUGGGCGAAAGCCUGACGCAGCGACGCCGCGUGAGGGAUGACGG